AAAAAAGAAAAAAAAAAGAACAUAAAUAUCUGACCCGAACGAACUGAUAAUAUAGGCAUAACCUAUCAGUUCUUCUACAAACAAACAGCUCACUAAAUGCUUCUAUUUCAUUGAUUCAUCCCAACAAAACAGAGAAAACCAUUCUAACACACAAGAUAAAGAAUCAUUUCAAUGAAUUAAACACAAUCAAUUUCUACAAUCAUCCCAAUCAAUUUCAACAAUCAAACAAAAUAGAUCUUGCAAUUUCAACAAACAAUACAGAUUCAAUAAUUAAUUAAAAAUUUAAAAUGACUUCAACAAUCAUAUUAAUAUGAGGUGACGAGAAGAGGUGACUUGUGAGGGCGAGGCACUCAUGUAGAGGCAUGAGAGCAUACAGAUUCGAGAUGAGAACACAUCGAGAACGAGAACAUCGGCUUCGUUCAUGACUCUCAUAUAGCUUAAUACGAAACAAUCUCUUUGUGACUGGUUCUGUUUGUCUUCGACAGAGAGAUGCCAGUACUGUGCAGCGGUGUUGAGGGAUGAGGUGGAUGGAGGAUUAGUGGGUGAUAGUGGCAAUGGUGCCAAGGGGCAAGGCAGACAAAGAGUGAGAGAUAGCUGAGAGGAGGAAGAGGAGGGGGGGGGGGGUGG
rnacentral:misc_RNA from 1 species